UGAGGAAUUUUGCGCAAUGGGCGAAAGUCUGACGGAGCAACGCCGCGUGAGUGAAGAAGGUUUUCGGAUCGUAAAACUCUGUUGUCAGAGAAGAACACGUUGGAGAGUAACUGCUCCAGCCUUGACGGUAUCUGACCAGAAAGCCACGGCUAACUACGUGCCAGCAGCCGCGGUAAUACGUAGGUGGCAAGCGUUGUCCGGAUUUAUUGGGCGUAAAGCGAGCGCAGGCGGUUCCUUAAGUCUGAUGUGAAAGCCCACGGCUCAACCGUGGAAGGUCAUUGGAAACUGGGGAACUUGAGUGCAGAAGAGGAGAGUGGAAUUCCAUGUGUAGCGGUGAAAUGCGUAGAUAUAUAGAUGAACACCAGUGGCGAAGGCGACUCUCUGGUCUGUAACUGACGCUGAGGCGCGAAAGCGUGGGGAGCAAACA
rnacentral:rRNA from 1 species